GACAGAGGGUGCAAACGUUGUUCGGAAUUACUGGGCGUAAAGCGCGUGUAGGCUGCUCUGUGUGUCGGAUGUGAAAGCCCUGGGCUCAACCUAGGAAGUGCAUUCGAAACUACAGAGCUUGAGUUCUGGAGAGGAAAGCGGAAUUCUCGGUGUAGAGGUGAAAUUCGUAGAUAUCGAGAGGAACACCGGUGGCGAAGGCGGCUUUCUGGACAGUAACUGACGCUGAGACGCGAAAGCGUGGGGAGCAAACAGG
rnacentral:rRNA from 1 species